CUCUGUGUUCUCAUCAAGGACAAGAAUGAACCCAACCUCAGCUUCAGGUUCAACUUCACUCGCGCUCUUCUUCUUUCUCCCAAGUGCGAUGUUACUGCUAAUCUUUCCGAGUUCCCAAGGCUGCUGAACCUUGCGCCGAAUUCCGCAGAAGCAAAGUUGUUCGAGCAAUUUGGGAAGGAUAUCCAAGCGAAUGCUGCAAGUGCCGGUGUUGGCAACUCAACCGGAAAUGCUAGCCCUAAAGAAAAUAAAAAUGGUGGAAGGGACAAGACCUUAUCAAAUGCAAGUGAUGGUGAAAGCAACAAA